AAUAGAUACCCGGGUAGUCCACGCCGUAAACGAUGAGUGCUAAGUGUUAGAGGGUUUCCGCCCUUUAGUGCUGCAGCUAACGCAUUAAGCACUCCGCCUGGGGAGUACGGCCGCAAGGCUGAAACUCAAAGGAAUUGACGGGGGCCCGCACAAGCGGUGGAGCAUGUGGUUUAAUUCGAAGCAACGCGAAGAACCUUACCAGGUCUUGACAUCCUCUGACACUCCUAGAGAUAGGACGUUCCCCUUCGGGGGACAGAGUGACAGGUGGUGCAUGGUCGUCGUCAGCUCGUGUCGUGAGAUGUUGGGUUAAGUCCCGCAACGAGCGCAACCCUUGAUCUUAGUUGCCAGCAUUCAGUUGGGCACUCUAAGGUGACUGCCGGUGACAAACCGGAGGAAGGUGGGGAUGACGUCAAAUCAUCAUGCCCCUUAUGACCUGGGCUACACACGUGCUACAAUGGAUGGUACAAAGAGCAGCAAACCCGCGAGGGCUAGCAAAUCUCAUAAAGCCAUUCUCAGUUCGGAUUG
rnacentral:rRNA from 1 species